rnacentral:rRNA from 1 species
GCCGCAGUAUUUUGACUGUGCAAAGGUAGCAUGAUCAUUUGCUUCUUAAUUAGGAGCUUGUAUGAAUGGCUGGAUGAGAAAUUGACUUUCUUUAUUUUAUUUUAUAUAAUUUUAUUUUUUAGUUAAAAAGCUGGAAUUUUUUUAUAAGACGAGAAGACCCUAUAGAACUUUAUAUUUUAUUAUAUUAUUUAUUAUUAGAUAAUAAUUUUAUUAUAUUAUUAUUUAUUUUGUUGGGGUGACAGGUAAAUUUAUUUAACUUUACUUAUUUCAUAUUUCAUUAAUUUAUGAUUUAUUGAUCCAUUUAUUAUGAUUAAAAGUUUAAGUUACCUUAGGGAUAACAGCGUUAUUUUAUUGGAGAGUUCUUAUUUAUAAUAAAAUUUGCGACCUCGAUGUUGGAUUAAA